UUUAGUUUUUAUAUUUUUGUAUGUGUACACACUUGAAUCACGUUUCACUUAAUUUCUGGCGCAUGUAAAACGAAUCGAGUUAGGCGGGAGCGCCGAACAACAGACAAGCGAGUAAGUGUAGCGACAAAGCUCUGGCGGUGUAAGCGCCCCGAAAGAUGGCAGACAUCCAACUUUAAGCAAUCACGCACGAGCCCAUAGCCCGUUCGUCUGUCUGAGUUGCAUGUUUAUGAAAACCUGAAACCUGAGGCCACACUGAAUGCUUCGUUUUACCUGUUGCCAAGUCCAAAUGAUGGCCGGCUUGGGCAACGAGCGGGUGCGACUGAGCCACCCGUGCCUACCUGCAUUAGAGGUGGGUGUGGUCUAGCAACGAUCGCCAAGGCACACAGCACGUGCGAGCAAGCGAGACGUCACUAGUUCCAUCAAUGAUGGGAUCAGUGCUGCCGCCAUUGAAGGUGAUGGGCAUUUGAGCCAAAUACAAAUGCAUUAAGCGUGAAAAAGAUGGGCAAUGUGGUCAAUGAGAAAUAGAAAACACAGCAGACUGCGGCAGCGGCAGUGGCAGUGAUGGCUGAAAAAAUUAGCACCGAUCGUCGAUCAUUAGCUCGGGAACGGUGGCAACGCAAACACAGUUGACGGUGCGGCAAUCGGUGACUCGAAAACGUUCCCAAAGAAAAUUCGUUGCAAGCGCAGCGCGAUUCUAGUGUUUUGAACUUGGAACGGCUACAGCCUCCAAAAAGUAAAAUUAUUAAGUAACAAAAACUGUGAAAAA